UAGCUGUGGUUAUUCGUGUUAUAGAAUUCAGCUUCUCUUGUAAUCUGUCUCUCUUACACACAGACAACUUUCUUCCUACUUUCUCCCUCAUUGUUCCAAUCUCCCCCUUCAUCAAUUCUACUUCUCUUCCUUUAUUACCUCGCACAAGAAUACCUCCUAUCCAAAAUGUACCUUGUUUAUCUCUCCCUCCUUCUCUUUGUCUUUGCAGGUCAAGGGCAGGUUUGUUCAGAGGACAAGUGUCUGAAUUGCUAUUGGCUAUUCUUAUUGGUUAGUUUAAUAGGAUCAGCUCUGAACAGAUGAGAUUAUGACACCCAAGGCAUAAUACUUUAUAUUAUAUUCCAGAGUCCUUGUCAAAAUGGCUGCAGAACUAUAGAAAGUGUGCUGUUUUCAGUCCCAAGUGAAGGACGCAAAACAAUCUUUGAAGCAUGGCACUUCUCAAGAUCAAGUUUCCCUUCCAGAAGAGGGUACGUUUGGCCCAGGGUGUGUGGCUACUGUCAUGGGUCGCCAUGGUCUCUGGAGCCACCACCUUUGCCUUGGGAGUCUUCCUCAAGACUGAGCUUUUCCGCAGGGCUGAGGUGAUGUAUAACAGUGACAUCCAUAUCGUGCCCAAUCUGCUCAUAGUGGUAGGGCUGACAUCUGUGGGCAUCAACAUCUGCGCUGGUAAAGUGUGUCAGGACUCGUUGGAUGCUUCACGGUUUCCACGCUGGAAAAACAUCCUCACUCCCUUCUUCAGCAUCUCUCUCUUCUUUACAUCUCUGUUGCUGGUUGGUAUGAUAUUGAGCUACGCCCUGCAGCACAGCCUGGAGGAAUCUCUCAAAGUGGGCUUAAAGAACGGCAUUCGUUUCUAUAAGGACACAGACACACCAGGCCGGUGCUUCCAGAAGGAGACCAUUGACCAACUGCAGAUAGAGUUCCAGUGCUGUGGGAACACCAACUACAGGGACUGGUUUGAAGUGCAGUGGGUCAACAACCGCUAUCUGGACUUCACCUCUAAGGAAGUGAAAGACCGCGUAAAGAGUAAUGUGGAUGGCCGUUACCUAGUGGACGGAGUCCCUUUCAGCUGCUGUAACCCAGCUUCCCCCAGACCCUGCAUCCAGUACCACCUUUUAGACAACACAGCCCAUCACAACUACGAGUACCAGAGUGAGGAGCUGAAUCUGUAUAACCGUGGCUGCCGUCAGGCUCUGGUUAACUACUACAUGGGUCUGAUGAACACGAUUGGGCCUGGAGUACUUUCUGUAUUUCUAGUUCAGAUGACUGUGUUAAUUGGCCUGCGCUACCUGAAGACCUCCAUGGAAGCCGUAGAAGGCCAGGAGAAUAUGGAGAUCGAGACGGAAGGUUACAUCCUGGAGAAAGGUGUAAAGGAGACAGCCAAAGAGUUGAAAAAUAAGUGGUAGGUAGCAGUGGUAGCUCAGAGGUGGAGGCAUUGGGUUACUGAUCAAAUGGCCAUGAGUUAAAAUCCCAGCCGCAUCAAGCUGCCACUGCUGGCUUCUUCAGCAAGGACCCAACAGUAGAAAGUUGCUUUGGAUAUAAAUGUUGGGUAAAUUAGUGAUUGCCUCCUCUUUAGAGACCAAAAGAGAGAGAGAGAGGGAGCGGGAGAGAGAGAGGAUUUUAGGCCAUCCAUCCAUCCAUCCACGGUACCCUCUGUACCGCUUAUCCUACACAGGGUCACGGGGAGCCUGGAGCCUAUCCCAGGGAACUCGUGGCACAAGGUGGGGGACACCCUGGAUGGGGUGCCAACCCAUUGCAGGGCACAAUCACACACACACACACUCACACACCCAUUCACAUACUACAGAUGAUUUAGAAAUGCCAAGCAGCCUACAACACAUGUCUUUGGACCGGAGGAAACCCCCGAAGCACAGGCAGAACAGGGAAACCCUCCGCACACGUUUAUAUAUGCCAGUAGAAUCUAAUAUAAAGGCUUGGCAUGCCAGGCUGAUAUGUUGGCCUAGUCACAUGUCCUGACUAAUGAAAAAAUAUAUUAUGUAUUUUAUGAUUACA